rnacentral:misc_RNA from 1 species
AACGCAACUUGCGCCCUCUGGUAUUCCGGAGGGCAUGCCUGUUUGAGUGUCAUGUAGACUCAAUCCCUCGGGUUUCUGAGGAGGUUGGAUUUGGGCGCUUGCCUUCUGGCUCGCCUUAAAGGACUUAGCAGGAUAGCACUGUAGUCGACGUAAUAAGUCUCGUCGGUGAAAGUGUGAUGUCUGCUUAUAAAUUGCCCUUGGGCACUUUUGACUCUGACCUCAAAUCAGGUAGGACUACCCGCUGAACUUAA